rnacentral:rRNA from 1 species
UACGUAGGGUGCGAGCGUUGCCCGGAUUUAUUGGGCGUAAAGGGCGCGUAGGCGGCUCGGCACGUCCGUUGUGAAAUCGCCCGGCUCAACUGGGCGGGGUCAGCGGAUACGGUCGAGCUUGAGCAAGCUAGGGGGCAAUGGAAUUCCCGGUGUAGUGGUGGAAUGCGUAGAUAUCGGGAGGAACACCAGUGGCGAGGCGGGUCUCUGGGCCGACAUUGACGCUGAGGAGCGAAAGCGUGGGGAGCGAACAGG